GGAUCAGUACGUUGGUCGUGCCUUCGGUAUGUACUGGUGUCACUGAUUCCUCCCUUCUGACGAACCGUGAUGUCAUUAAUUUGGUGUUGCGGGGAAUCAGGACUGUUACUUUGAAAAAUUAGAGUGUUUAAAGCAGGCUCACGCUUGAAUACAUUAGCAUGGAAUAAUGAAAUAGGACGUUUGAUUCUAUUUUGUUGGUUUCUAGGAUCGACGUAAUGAU
rnacentral:rRNA from 1 species